rnacentral:misc_RNA from 1 species
AUAAGCAGUAAUCACAAUGAUUCAGUCUCACAUCAGGAUAACACUCACAAUAUACACAAUCACACAUACAGUACUGACAAGCAGUUCAAGAUCGACAUUACAUAGCAAUACACAANNNNNNNNNNAACACCAUUGGUGUUUCGUGGAGAAGUAUAGAAGCCAAACAAGUAGAGACCUAUCAAAUACAUGCAUCCCAAAGGAAGAAAAUGAGCCCUGCUAAUCAGUCUGCAGCUGAAACCUUGAAAUAACAAUUGAAGAUGCAGCCGGUUUAAUGAUUAUUUUAGGCAAUAAGAACGCUCUUCAAUUUAUCACAGUUGAUAAUCUUAGUUGCCCUUAAAGAAGGGCAACUCAAUGGAUUCUCCUUCCAAAUGCUUGUUAGUUUUGGCAGGUCCUGAAGCACCAAUUCUGUCAAACUAGGUAGCUCUAAAGGUUCCGACCCAUUAUUCUCAGAUUCCACAAUUAUCUGCUCAAUUUCAGGACAAUCUUCAAUUUGCAAGUGUUGAAGUUUAGAAAGCAUGGCAGGGGAGAAUAUCUUCGUCAGCUUUGAACAUUCAGAUAAACAAAGAACAGUAAGCUGUGCUAGGCUUCCAUCUGGUACAUGGCCCUCCCAAAUACUUUCCAACAUUGGGACAUUGCUAAUGUAAAUCCUCUCCAAGCGAGUUAGCACACUUUCCAUGGUUCCACGAGCAUCAAUAACUGUUAGAAUCUCAUUGCACCCUUCAAUUAUGCAGCACUUCAA